CCUGUGGAAAGCCCCUCUUCUGGUCAUCUGGGUGUAGCCACUCUCUCCCUAUGAAGGAGGUAUUAUCAGCCUCUUAGCAGCUGAGGAAACCGAGGCUCAGGGCCAGAAAUUCAUCCCUCCAGAGCAGUGGUUCUCAGCCUCCCUAAGGCCGAGAUCCUUUGCAUACACAUCUCUCAACAUUGUGGAGACCCCAGCCAUAGAACUGUUUUACUGUUUUUGUUGCUACCCGAUCUGACCAUCUGCUUGACUUGGAAAUGCUCACGGCAAAUGAGACGUUCUUGCUUCUCAUACUGGAGAUUCCCAAACAUGAGGGAUUGGGACUGGCUUGUGUGUUGGCUGCUUAUAGAGACUAACGCUGGAAGGAGAAAUCAGGUUAAAUCAUCUUGAAAUCUGAAUGGGAAGACAAGGACGGAAUGUCAAGGCCCACGUACACAGAGCAAACAGAAAUAAAAAGAAAGGGCUGUAUUCUCACUGACUCACCCAGGAUGAAAAACAAUCCAUCUAAUACCUUGCUUGCAACCAAAUAUUAAGUUUUAGCGUCUUUUAAUGAUUAGCUCUGCAUGAAUUUCAACUGGUUGUUAUGAGCCAAAAAUCUAUAUAUGACAUGCUAUCUGGGGGAGAGUUUUACAAGACACUUCUCUAUAUAAUUUGGCUUAAGGAUAGCACUCUUUCUUAAUUUUAACUUGCAUAAUACAUUUUAGUUCCCUGGCACGGAAAGCUAUUGUGUGAAUACUAAAAUCUUUAUUGGGGAGGGGGAGGAGCAGCCUUGAUCAGAAUACAUUUGUGGGGAGCUUUUCAUUUGAGGGUCUCACUGAAAUGUGCCUUGGAAUUUUGUACCGUCCUACCGUAGCAUUACACGUCAACACUCGAGUCUACAACGUAGAUAGUCCCCAGGUAUACAGCUGCAUGGAGAAGGCUUCCUUAGCAACUGAUUUAAUCUUGGGUCAGACUGGCUAGUUGAGGGAGGCACAGUUCAACAGCGCAAAUGUGGGCGCAUUUAGCAAUCAGGUAAAUAAUACAUCAAGGAGGGAAACAGGGAAUAUUUUAUCUUGCCUUGGGACUCGGUAAUAAACAGUCCCCCUUCCCUCCCGCCUCCAGUUCAGAUAGAUUCUUAGUAAAUACUUCGAUGGAAGAGGCUUUUCUCUUAGCAAGAUGAACAAUUCAUCUCAGGUGAAGGCUAUGGGGCUGAGGCAGAAUCCAGGCAGAGAAUUUUCCCCAUGGUUUGAAUCAGUAGGACGGGUGUAGCCUCGAGGACAAGUGUGUUAGAGAAAAUGAAAUUUCAGAUAGAAGCGAACACGCUAAAGAGGGUCAGAGGGUCUGGAAAGGCUGGGAGUGGGGACGAGCGCUAUUCUUCUUACGUGCGUGUGCACGCGCGCAUGCGUGUGUGGGUCACAGAGGUUGGAAGCUUUGUAGAGCGGAGUGGAAGUUAAAACCUUGACCGUUCAGUGAUGCAACAGCAAUGAGUAGCGACUGCUGACUCAUUGCAUCAAAUUAGGUAUUUAUUAGCCGGGGAAAAAAUUAUUAGGCAAGGCAACAGGGAGUUGCUCAGGGACCAGGCCUUGCUACUUCUAGUCAAACUAAUGCUGUUGCUGCGGUUCAGCUCAUGGUGGUUCGCAGCAGAGGGCAGUGUGUAGGUCCAGCAGUCACAUUCUGACUUGAUAUUGAGGAAAACGUAGACUCUAGCCUUCCUCUUUACUACUAUCUGUUUGCCCAGUUCACUGAGUGUGCCUUGGCCAUGUUAUCAUAAAAGAAGCAUUUGGAAGAGAACUCUACUAUCUUAAACAAUCAAAUGAUCAAGCUCGGAGAGCUGAAGGUGGCGACAAGCUGAAGUCUUCUCUCUGGUUCCAUGGAUCUAACGGGUAACUGAUUACAAUAUUGAGUUUGAGAUCAAUAUAUACAGACAGUUUUCCUUGUGGCUAACCUUCAGCAAUACAACAUCUGUCUGCAUCGUAUUUACAGUGCAUCAGGACUGACAGGUAAACUGAAGGGAGUGUGAAGUAUACACGGGGCCUGCGGAGGCUAUCUGCAGAGACUAGACCGUUUUUUGCAUAGCGCUUGGACAUUCUCAGCUCUUGGGUAUGCACUAGAGUUGAUCGGGUUGGGCCUGGCACGAAUUUCCAACAAAAUCUUGAGCAACAGCUGUACUGAGAAAUAUAGCUUGUCUGUCUUCUUAUGAACUAUGCGGGGAAUUGUGGCAAAAUGCUAUCAGGAGAGGAGCGUUUACUGGGCUAGUUUCUGGAUGCUCUCAUGUCUGCCAUUCAGUUAAUGAGGAGCCAUACAUUAAAAUCCUGUACCUACUUCCUGCCCACUUGCCCCAGACACACGGCCUAAUUUUAUAUAUUGCUGAAUGAUACAAUAUGUGGUAUAGAAAUAUCUGUUUUCCGCCUCAUUCACCGUCAUGGUUGUGUGGAGUCAAAGGAGGAAAGUGGCCGCAGUGGAGGCAGGAAGAGAAUAGAGACAAUAAAACCUGCAUAAACUCAUCCACAAACCUAGAAGGGGUUGCUUAAGUAGCAAUGCGGUAAGCUAAUUCGUAUUUAUUACUCAGGAAAUUCAUUAAAGAAGAAUUACAUGACAAGCUGCCUGACAAUAUAAGGCAUGGAGCUUGCCUAUCACCCCUUUGUCUUCUGUCGCUUUGGAGGUGAUAAACACUGCCAGCUAUACCAAGUUUGUCCCUUUCGUUUCAGAGUGCUGGUUCCUUGGCUGUCCGGAAAUGGUUCAUCCAUUUAGCAAAGUUGGCUCCACUCGUUUGGCUAUUGCAAAUAGUGCUGCUGCAAACACCUAAUAACCACACACAUGACAUGACAUGCUAGCUCGAUCAGUAAUGGAGAAGACACAUGCUCCUAGAAUCAAGCUUUUGCGCGCGCGCGCACACACACACAUACACACACACACACACACAAACUUAACUAAGAAUUUUCUCUUGUUUAAAAUAGCGGGCAGUUAUGAAAAUAUUUUCCACGGAGAACUUUCACCUAACGUUGUCUCGUUUCUGCACUCAACAAUGACGCUGUGCUUAACAUCAUAAUUUUAUGGGUGAGCAGACUGAGGGUCUGAAAGGUCAUGAGUUUUAGAUUUGGGGUGUGCAGUGGUACAGUCUGGGUCCUUUCUGACGCAUCCCGUUGGCUCCCAGGAGGGGGCCUGUCCAUAGCUGACUUACAUCGCCACUGGAAGCCAAGAAGGCAAGGACAAACACUGGCAUUUUCAUGAUUUGGCUCUGGCCUGUAAUAACUGUUAAAUCAUGCCUUAGGCAAGCCUCUUGGCGAGGUUGGGGCACCCAGAAAGCAUUGGAUAAAGUUGAACUCCUGUAGGCAGGCUUUUAAGAUGUUUACAUUUUAAUGAUGUUAUUAAAAUGAAAGUUCAGCUUGAAUAAUUCAUCAGUGUUCAGCGCCUCUUCUAAAAUCUCUGUCACUGAACUAUUUUUUAUUUUUAAAUUUCAGUGAGAUUCUCACAAAGCACGAACAGGUAUUUCAAGGAAGAGUAAGGUAGAUCUCUAGGUGAACUGUUUAGGAGCUUCAUUGCCAGUGAAUUGUUCAGGCUAGGUUCACUUCCGGUGCCUCGCCUGUGUUACAGACAAUGCUGUUCUCUUCUGGUGUCUCGCCUGUAUUUUACAGGGCUGUAAAAAACCAAGUUGUUUUUGAUGUAAGCAAUAUGUAAAAGAAGCUUACAAAUAAGUGGUUUGGUAAAGCCAGGAAUUGGGAAAUUCUCUGAAAGAACGUUGCCUUUGACUCUUGUAAAGGUUUAUUUUUACUUCUAGUUACUGUCACGGGUUUAUUCAGACUUCUAUCAGCAAUGCUGCUGGAUGGAGUGUGUUUUAAUGGAUUUAAAUUCCUGAAAAUAUAGUUGAUGAAAGUCUAGAAAUUUACA